UACCAGCACCCCGAGUGGUCGGGACGAUUAUUGGGCCUAGAGCAUCCGUAGCCGGUUUUACAAGUCCUCCGUUAAAUCCAGCUGCUUAACAGAUGGGCUGCGGAGGAUACUAUAAGACUAGGAGGCAGGAGAGGCAAGCGGUACUCAGUGGGUAGGGGUAAAAUCCGUUGAUCCAUUGAAGACCACCAGUGGCGAAGGCGGCUUGCCAGAAUGCGCUCGACGGUGAGGGAUGAAAGCUGGGGGAGCAAACCGG
rnacentral:rRNA from 1 species